GAUGAACGCUGGCGGCGUGCCUAAUACAUGCAAGUCGAGCGAAUGGAUUAAGAGCUUGCUCUUAUGAAGUUAGCGGCGGACGGGUGAGUAACACGUGGGUAACCUGCCCAUAAGACUGGAAUAACUCCGGGAAACCGGGGCUAAUACCGGAUAACAUUUUGAACCGCAUGGAUCGAAAUUGAAAGGCGGCUUCGGCUGUCACUUAUGGAUGGACCCGCGUCGCAUUAGCUAGUUGGUGAGGUAACGGCUCACCAAGGCAACGAUGCGUAGCCGACCUGGGAGGGGGACCGGCCACACUGGGACUGAGACACGGCCCAGACUCCUACGGGAGGCAGCAGUAGGGAAUCUUCCGCAAUGGACGAAAGUCUGACGGAGCAACGCCGCGUGAGUGAUGAAGGCUUUCAGGUCGUAAAACUCUGUUGUUAGGGAAGAACAAGUGCUAGUUGAAUAAGCUGGCACCUUGACGGUACCUAACCAGAAAGCCACGGCUAACUACGUGCCAGCCGCCGCCGUAA
rnacentral:rRNA from 1 species